UGCAGUGAGAAAGGAUACACUAACAGAUUAUCUAAUUUACUGGAUGGACAACGGAGUGCAUAACGCUGUAGAACCAGAAGUGUAAGCGAGUAAUUGUUAGAGAAGUCUCCUCAUAACCUUUGACUAACGAAAAGAGAACUCCAGCCUAUACGAUACUAUAAUUCGACAUCUGUCCGUGUAAGACUGGUUUGCUGACCUACCCAGGAAAACAAUCUUACAGAAGAUGGAAGUAUCCCCAAUGGAACCACAAAUAGGCCCUGUCAGCCACCCCUCAUCAACCCAGCAAUCAACUUAGCCUGGAACGACAAAAAGUGGUUGCACCAGACUAAGGACAACUAAAAGUGACCCGACGAACUGCCCCUAUGCAUCGAAAAGAAAGGUUGAUACCACCAAAACAUACCUAAACUAACUAAAUGAUUUGCAGUUCGUUAACUAGAUUUGUUCUUACUAAACAAUAAAAUUUAUGCAGUUCUUUA